ACCUUACCAAGGCUUGACAUACUGGCUCAAGUUAAUGUGAAAGCAUUUGUGCUGUAAGGCUUGCCUUACAUAGUCAGUACAGGUGCUGCAUGGCUGUCGUCAGCUCGUGCCGUGAGGUGUCCGGUUAAGUCCGGUAACGAGCGCAACCCCUAUGUUUAGUUGCCAGCACGUAAAGGUGGGAACUCUAAAGAGACUGCCGGCGACAAGCCGGAGGAAGGCGGGGACGACGUCAAGUCAUCAUGGCCCUUAUGCCUUGGGCUACACACAUGCUACAAUGGCGGAUACAAUGGGUUGCCAAACUGUGAAGUGGAGCCAUUCCCAUCAAAGUCCGUCUCAGUUCGGAUUGCAGGCUGCAACUCGCCUGCAUGAAGUUGGAAUCGCUAGUAAUCGUGGAUCAGCACUGCCACGGUGAAUACGUUCCCGGGCCUUGCACACACCGCCCGUCACACCACGAAAGUCGGUUCUACCCGAAGUGGUUGAGCUAACCCGCAAGGGGGGCAGACUCCUAAGGUAGGGCUGGUGAUUGGGGUGAAGUCGUAACAAGGUAGCCGU
rnacentral:rRNA from 1 species